rnacentral:rRNA from 1 species
GACGAACGCUGGCGGCGUGCCUAAUACAUGCAAGUCGAACGCACAGUCUAUACCGUAGCUUGCUGCACGAUAGACUGUGAGGUGCGAACGGGUGAGUUACCCGGAGCUAACCUGCCUGGUAGCGGGGGGUAACUAGUGGUAACGAUAGCUAAUACCUCAUGAUACUGAUUAUUGCAUGGUAAUUGACGGAAGUAUGCUAUUGCAUCGCUACCUGAUGGCCUUGCGGUGUAGUAGUUAGUAGGCGAGGUAACGGCUCACCUAGGCGACGAUACAGUGCCGACCUGAGAGGGUGGUUGGCCGCCCUGGGACUGGGACCCGGCCCAGACUCCCACAGGAGGCAGCCGUAGGGAAACUUCGGGAAUGGGCGGAAAUCUGACCGAACAACGCCGCGUGAGGGAAGAAGGUUUUCGGGUCGUAAAGCUCUGUUGUCAGGGAAGAACGGGUGUGAGAGUGGAAAGUUCACAGUGUGACGGUAACUUACCAGAAAGCGACGGCUAACUACGUG